rnacentral:rRNA from 1 species
CCUACGGGAGGCAGCAGUGGGGGAUAUUGCACAAUGGGGGAAACCCUGAUGCAGCGACGCCGCGUGGGUGAAGACGCGCCUCGGCUCGUAAAGCCCUGUCAUCAGGGAAGAAAAUGACGGUAGCUGAAGAAGAAGCCCCGGCUAACUACGUGCCAGCAGCCGCGGUAAUACGUAGGGGGCAAGCGUUGUCCGGAUUUACUGGGUGUAAAGGGUGCGCAGGCGGGGAUGCAAGCCAGGAGUGAAAGCUCGGGGCUCAACCCCGGAACUGCUCUUGAAACUGCGUGGCUAGAGGGCAGGAGGGGCAGGCGGAAUUCCUGGUGUAGCGGUGAAAUGCGUAGAGAUCAGGAGGAACACCGGUGGCGAAGGCGGCCUGCUGGACUGCAACUGACGUUGAGGCCCGAAAGCGUGGGGAGCAAACAGGAUUAGAUACCCGAGUAGUC